rnacentral:rRNA from 1 species
UACGAAGGGAGCGAGCGUUGUUCGGAAUCACUGGGCUUAAAGCGCACGUAGGCGGCUUUCUAAGUCGGGGGUGAAAUCCUGGAGCUCAACUCCAGAACUGCCUUCGAUACUGGAGAGCUUGAGUCCGGGAGAGGUGAGUGGAACUGCGAGUGUAGAGGUGAAAUUCGUAGAUAUUCGCAAGAACACCAGUGGCGAAGGCGGCUCACUGGCCCGGUACUGACGCUGAGGUGCGAAAGCGUGGGGAGCAAACAGG